GCAGCGUAUGCCAUCAAAGUUACCCGGGCGUACAAAUAUACGAAGCUCAAUAUACCCAUCAUGACUAUUACCCGUCUGAUAAUGGUACACCAGACACGUGCAUCACAACUAUAUGUGCGUGACAUGGUGAUCUCAUUUCAAGAUAAACAGCGCAAGACCUUGAAGGUGAGACCCAGUUAGAAUUCUCAUCAGAACAUGUAGCCUAUCCCGCUCAAGAGAUCCCUGAAUAAGGGC